rnacentral:rRNA from 1 species
GAUGAACGCUGGCGGCGUGCCUAAUACAUGCAAGUCGAGCGAACAGAUAAGGAGCUUGCUCCUUUGACGUUAGCGGCGGACGGGUGAGUAACACGUGGGUAACCUACCUAUAAGACUGGAAUAACUCCGGGAAACCGGGGCUAAUGCCGGAUAACAUUUAGAACCGCAUGGUUCUAAAGUGAAAGAUGGUUUUACUAUCACUUAUAGAUGGACCCGCGCCGUAUUAGCUAGUUGGUAAGGUAACGGCUUACCAAGGCAACGAUACGUAGCCGACCUGAGAGGGUGAUCGGCCACACUGGAACUGAGACACGGUCAAGACUCCUACGGGAGGCAGCAGUAGGGAAUCUUCCGCAAUGGGCGAAAGCCUGACGGAGCAACGCCGCGUGAGUGAUGAAGGUCUUCGGAUCGUAAAACUCUGUUAUUAGGGAAGAACAAAUGUGUAAGUAACUGUGCACGUCUUGACGGUACCGAAUCAGAAAGCCACGGCUAACUACGUG